rnacentral:rRNA from 1 species
GCACGUAGUUAGCCGGGACUUCUUCUGCAGGUACCGUCAGUUUCCCUUCGUCCCUGCCGAAAGGGGUUUACAACCCGGAGGCCUUCAUCCCCCACGCGGCGUCGCUGCGUCACGCUUUCGCGCAUUAGCGCAAGAUCCCCCACUGCUGCCUCCCGUAGGAGUCUGGGCCGUGUCUCAGUCCCAGUGUGGCUGGCCGUCCUCUCAGACCAGCUACCCGUCGUCGCCUUGGUGGGCCGUUACCCCACCAACAAGCUGAUAGGCCGCGGGCCCAUCCCGGACCGUCGGAGCUUUCCCGGCGCGACCAUGCGAUCGCGCCGGAGUAUCCGGUAUUAGCUCAGGUUUCCCUGGGUUAUCCCGGUGUCCGGGGCAGGUUGCCCACGUGUUACUCACCCGUUCGCCGCUCUCCCCUCGGAAGGGUUACCCCUCCUGAGGUUCCCGCUCGACUUGCAUGUGUUAGGCACGCCGCCAGCGUUCGUC